GACUAGGUGGCAGAGUAAGGCUAUUGCAAAAGGUCUAAGCCCUUUAUACAGAGGUUCGACCCCUCUCCUAGUCU
rnacentral:tRNA from 1 species